GCCUGGGUGGCUCAGUCGGUUCAGCGUCCGACUCUUGGUGUUAGCCCAGGUCAUGAUCUCGCGAUGCGUGGGUUCAAGCCCCACAUCAGGCU
rnacentral:tRNA from 1 species